rnacentral:rRNA from 1 species
AGAGAGAGACAUGCGCGCAUAUCAAUAAGCGGAGGAAAAGAAACUAACAAGGAUUCCCUUAGUAACGGCGAGUGAAGCGGGAAGAGCUCAAAUUUGAAAUCUUCAAGGUUUUACCUUGACGAAUUGUAGUUUAAAGAAGUGUUUUCUGCUGAAGUUUUGGUAAAAGUUCUUUGGAAUAGGACAUCAUAGAGGGUGAGAAUCCCGUAUUUGACCAUUAUUUUCAGCUUUGUGAUACACUUUCAAAGAGUCGGAUUGUUUGGGAAUGCAGUCCAAGAUGGGUGGUAAAUUUCAUCUAAAGCUAAAUAUUGGCGAGAGACCGAUAGCGAACAAGUACCGUGAGGGAAAGAUGAAAAGAACUUUGAAAAGAGAGUUAAACAGUACGUGAAAUUGUCAAAAGGGAAGCGUUUGACACCAGUGUUGUUUUCUCGAAAAUCAAUUAAAAAUGGCUCGAUUUUGUAUUGCUUGAGACCUUAAAAGCUCACUGUACAUUUUUCGUGUCUUUUUUAAUGCACUUUUCGUUUAACAAGUCAACAUCAGUUUCUUUUGUUGUAAAAGGGUCAUUGGAAGGUGGCUUUCUUUUCGGAGAAAGUGUUUAUAGCCUUUGGCCUCUGCAAUCGGAGAGACUGAGGUCUGCAGCGUAGACUCUUCGGGGUUAGAUACAUUUGUGCUAAGUUAUAGCUUUUUAUAGACAACUUGUUGACUAUAAUUAGUCUUGUAGCUUACUCGCUUAUGCUAUUUUACCUACGCUUAGGAUGUUGAAGAUGUAGCACAUCAU